UACGUAGGGUGCAAGCGUUGUCCGGAAUCAUUGGGCGUAAAGAGCGUGUAGGCGGCCUGGUAAGUCCGCUGUGAAAGUCCAGGGCUCAACCCUGGAAUGCCGGUGGAAACUGUCAGGCUCGAGUCCGGAAGAGGCGAGUGGAAUUCCUGGUGUAGCGGUGAAAUGCGCAGAUAUCAGGAGGAACACCAAUGGCGAAGGCAGCUCGCUGGGACGGUACUGACGCUGAGGUGCGAAAGCGUGGGGAGCAAACAGG
rnacentral:rRNA from 1 species